GGAGAUCGUUAAAGUAGGAAAGCUGAGUCCUGAAGGCUGAAUAAGGUGACAGGAGGGGUGAGGUCUGAGAGAGAUACGCUGCCAGGAAGGAGGAGUUAACAGAGCCUUAUUAGAAGGGGGAACAUAACAGGAGAAGCCGCAUUCCGUUUGCUUAGGAGAUCGCAUAGCAAGGACUUUGGCUGAGGAUGUCCUAAAUGGUUUCAGCAGAGGAAUGCAACAUCACUGAAAGGCUGCAGUCGCACCUCCGUCCUGGGUCCUCCCUCCUCAACUUUCCGCCCUCCCUCCUCAGCCAACUACUCUGUGGUUCUUACGUCACUAGCAUAGUCUCUUCUCGCGAGACUUCAGUAAGCACAGUCUCACAGUGCAAAAAAACCAGGAAGACAAGAGCAAAACAGUGAAGCGGGACAUUAAGUUCACAAUCCGGGACAGCGGGACAGGCAGCUGAGAGAGGGACUGUCCCACGAAAGCAUUACAGUUGGGGGGACUAACACACAGGAGUCUGAGAACCAGCAGCAGAGUCAAGAAAUGCAUGUGGAGGAGGAAGAGGAACAAGAAUGCCAUCAAACACUACCAAUUCUAGAGGAUGAUGAAGUGACAUUGAUUCUGGAACCCAUUCCAACAGAGGUAGCUGAGCCACAGGAAAACCAAGAAAUGCAGAUGCAGCCUGAUUAACAGCAGGAGGAAACAAUCAACUAUAAUGAGACUGAGCCCCACCUGUCUUUAACAUCUAGCGCUGCAGAAAACCAAAAAAGCACUAAACAAAUUUAACGAGUUUUGAUUCUAAUCCAUGAGGACUUAACGGCACUAAAUGAACACUUACAUGAUACAGCAGAAGUCUAGUUUUGCUUGAAAAGGCAAAACAUUGAUCUUAUCCUCAAUCAAAUGUUUUUCUUAAAAACCAGCUACUGAAACAGUAGCAACUUGAAGGAGGAAAACACCGUUUUUUUUAUUGAGGUUAACAAACACAACUGUGGACUCAAGUAAAGGGCAACAUUCCAUUGUUUCCAACCAACAUUCUUCUUCCAGGUUAAAUGCUUGUGGCUCAGCUACUUAUAAAAGGGGUCGGCCUCCAGUUAAGGGCUUCAAAAUAGUCCUUCUUGUGAUGUAUUAAUGGCAGCUACCUGGAAAGGCUGAGCAAACACUUAUCAUUUCCCAUUUUAAGUCACACACCACUUUAACCUUUAGGGUCAGGGCACAUAGGCAGAUUCAGGGAGCUUAGUCACCUGCCAACAAAUGUGGGGAAGCAGUUUGGGGUGAUUAGUUGCCCCGAAGAAGAUGAGAUUUGUCGCCGGGCGACUAAUCUCCCUGAAUCUUCCUGUGUGCCUUGACCCUUAACAAAUGGGUAUUUUUACCAUUCCUAAACUUUUCAUUUGCUGUGGGUGGUAGAAUCAUGACAUGUGUGCCAAUCUGACACUUAACUUUUUCCAAAAUAUACCCCAUAGAGGGCUGGCUGAUUCCCAUUACUUGACAUAUGACAUGCUGGAAGCUGCCAUUAGGUACAAAAUAUAAGACAGAGAGAAGCUUACUUCUAGCCAUCAAGGGUUUUAAGGUCUUUGCUUAUAUGAGCAUAUAGCUCCAGAAUUGCCUGACAGUUCAAGCUGCUGUGUAGCAAUGGCAUAAAUGGAAAAAAGGCUAUAUGGCACAGGUUAAAUAGUGGCUAACACACAGCACCAUAAUCUUUAAAACAGCUUAUCUGUUAUCUGAUGUGUAUCCUGUGCUUGAAUGGCUGCCCCAUGGCUACACAGCAGCUUGUUUAUAUAAACAAUAGUAGACUUUCUGAAGCAAACACAGCAAUGAUGCAGGCGUCAAUUGACUACACAGGUGUGUAGUAAUUUGACGCCUGCGUCUAAUAAAUCUGACACCUAAGUCGAGUUGCUAGUACUGUGCACUUCUGACGCCUGUGUGUGUUCUUUUGACGCCUGCGCUGUCAUAAGUGAAAGUUGUACCAAUACAAAGGGGCAAAGUUU